UUUUGUUCAAAACCCAUUCGGCAGAUCUUAAUCAUUUUCGUUGUUAUUUGUUUGUAGAUCGUUCCACAUAAUUUGCAGAUAUGCAUCCCUUGCACAACAGUCCUUCAUUUUUAAAGCUUAUUGAUGAAGAUGACCCGAUAUUUUUGGUGAAGAGCUUCUUUCAGACUCCUUCCCCUACAAGGAACUAUUGAAUGGGUU